UACGAGGGGGGCGAGCGUUGUUCGGAAUUAUUGGGCGUAAAGGGUGCGUAGGCGGUUUGGUAAGUCUUGUGUGAAAUCUACAGGCUCAACUUGUAGUCUGCACGAGAAACUGCCGGACUUGAGUGUGGGAGAGGUGAGUGGAAUUCCUGGUGUAGCGGUGAAAUGCGUAGAUAUCAGGAGGAACACCUGUGGCGAAAGCGGCUCACUGGACCAUAACUGACGCUGAUGCACGAAAGCUAGGGGAGCAAACAGG
rnacentral:rRNA from 1 species